rnacentral:tRNA from 1 species
AAGAGAGGUCCGGGACAAAAAGAACUGCUAAUUCUUUUACUCAUGGUUCAACUCCAUGGCUCACUUG